rnacentral:rRNA from 1 species
UACAGAGGGUGCAAGCGUUGUUCGGAAUUAUUGGGCGUAAAGGGCGCGUAGGCGGUGCCACAAGUCACCUGUGAAAUCUCCGGGCUUAACUCGGAGCCUGCAGGCGAAACUGUGGUGCUGGAGUGUGGGAGAGGGAAGUGGAAUUUCAGGUGUAGCGGUGAAAUGCGUAGAUAUCUGAAGGAACAUCAGUGGCGAAAGCGACUUCCUGGACCAAUACUGACGCUCAUGUGCGAAAGCGUGGGGAGCAAACAGG